UUCAAUUUAAAAGCGAAGAGCGUUGCUUUGGGUAGAAUGUAAUAAAGCUGAUCCGUGUGUUCGUCGUGGCAACAUUAAUAAACCGUGCAGAUGGAACGUCGAGUAGAACCGUUGUCCACCGUAUUUAUUCGGUCGGACGCAUUUCGCCAUUCGCUGGAUUUGGUGUUUAAUCUCGAAAAAAAACGAGGAAAAAAGUUCGUGUGACGUGUCAACCAGCAACAAGGGCAUGGCGAUGUGCAGGAAGGCCGGCCGGCCAGACGACGAUGUGCGGUGCUAAUGAACGAAUUUAAAUUCUAAAGCCUGCCUGCCCCCCAGCCUGAAGGCGAACGCGAGGAGAGUUUCGGAGUGCGAACUGGUUAGAAGUGUAUUAUCGGAAGUGAAGCUUCACCCGGAAGGAAAUGUUCUAUAAAAUCGAUGCCGCUCGUGCGGUUUGGUCAGACUGUCUGCACCGUCUGCCGAACGUGCAACUUACACCCGGCGAUCUGCUAUUGUUACACUUGCCACCUACUACUACUACUACAGCUUCAUCCCCAACCAAAACAAAAGUUCUAGCAUCCGAUUACGAUCGUUAGCAAUAUGCUGCAAGCACUGCAAAAUAUACGCGGACACUGUCCGUUGAACAGUAUACCUGGAAAAUGUCGAUCCAAUUAGAGUUGCUCGUAUCAAUCAUUUCACCAGAACGUUCCUAGCAGGCAAUUUUCCUUGCUGUUAUCACAGUUCAGGAAAGGAAAAAACACAAAAAAGAUUUCUACCAUGCGGCCGAAGCCGCACGUUAAUAAAGUUUUACCUCAGGCACCUACACACCACCAUCGAUGCUGUGGGCUGGCCAGAUUCAUCCACCACCAUCCAACGUGCCUGGCGUGCUGCAUCAUAAUCACCAUAAAUUAUCUCAUCCCACGGUGACUGACCAACACCCUUGCGUGGAUGUCCUUUUGUGUUUCGCAUCGUUGCAUUUUCACUCGCGUCGAAUUACGGCCAAACAAAACCGAAUCGAUCCAACGAAAGCACUCCGUCCGUUUUGCACGAUAGCACGAUCCCACCCGACAAUUCGAUAACCACGUGCGUCACCGUUCUCGUAAUUAACUGACGCGUACCAAAAAUCGGAAACCAAUCAUUUUAGCACCGCAAGCAGAUUUGCUCGUCGCCCAGGCAACCGGUCAGAUUGGACCGAUCCCCGGUGAUGAGAGUGUCUAGCAGCAGCAGCAGCAGCAGCAUCGAACAGUUGACAUCGCAGUAAGCCGGCCACCCCGGCCUGCGGCUGUAGGCAGCCGGCGCAGAUGAAAUCUUUUCAAAAGCCGGCCAAAACAUCUCCUGAUUGGAAGUGAAAUAAAAACAUAAUUUCCAGCCGGAACACAGCGUCACGAAAUUACCGCUUUCUCAUUCCGAUUUCCGAGUAAAGAAUAAUAUUACAGUCAGUCCAUUUUUCCGUCCCUGCUGCUCAGAUUAUCCUGCCGGUGCUGCGGGAUGCCUCGCCACAAUAAUCUGCUCGAUAAUUUCCCGGCACACUACCUAUUACCUUCUCCGGGACACUAUUGGUCGCUAUAGGCAGACAUGGAAACCGUAUACCAACAAACGUGCGAAAUCUAAACCCCCUGCACAAAAUGUGCCGUUGAAAUGCGACACGAUAAAAUCAACCAACUUCACGCAAAACACCGCACGUUUUGGGGACGCUAGAUUGGCUUUGCCGUGUUUGUCAUCAGAGGCCACCAGCAGCAGCAGCAGCAGUCUUUCGAAUUCGACCAAACGCCCGGUCCUGGAGGGUAAUUAUCGUGCCUUGAAAUCGAACCUUUGCAUCGUCUGUCCAAACUGCACGCAGUAUAAGGCAUCGGGGGAUUGAAUGCUCUCCGUCCGGGGUCCGGAACUAUCUGCGGUUUAUCGAUCGCCAGAAACCUUAGAGCGCACCGGAGCCGAAUGCGUCACCGCACUACGCACCGAACUGGCGCGAACGCGUGCCAAAAAGAUCAAACCUUCGAAAUUCUGAGACAUGGCCGGUUGUCGUCUAUAGCAACGCACAGGCACAGGCAUCACGGGACAUCCAGAGGACCCCGAUGCCGGAGGUCUUACUUCUACCGCAGCCGUACCGUCUCGCGAUGUCGUGCUGCGUUAAGCCAACGGGCCCGUCAUUUCGGCUCCGUUCCGGCUUGUUUUCUACCUUCCGCCAGUGUCUAGCCGUGGUGAAUGUUCUUUGUCAACUGCGGCAUACUCUUCCACGCAUACCUAAACUUGGUCGUGUGAACAAAGAGUGAAAAGAGGGCUAGAGCGGUAACUAUCGUCCCUGCGAACGCCCCCCUGGCGUGCGUGCAGGCGUGUGGGUUGAUGCAUCCUGCUGCCUGGCCCCGUCGCGCACAAAACGCAUCGAAAUCGGGAUCGGUCGGGCAUCGAUGGCAGCCUAUUGAUUGGCCAUAAAAGCGUAAAAUUUAUGCUUCUGCAGUCGCGCCACCAUUAUCGGCCGUUGAUCGGCCCUGGCAUCGCGCCCCUCCGUCUACGGAUGCUGACUCAGAUGGUCACAUCGCACACAACUUCGCAGCCGUUGCCAUGGCUGUCCUGCAGACAUUGUUGUAUCCUGCUAACACCAGCAGGCGUCGUUCUCUUCAUCAUCCUAUCACCGUAACUAUCAUCAAACGAUAGAGAGAGAGAGUGUGUGUGUGUGUUGGUGUGCGUGGGGAGAUUUUUAAUGCGACACAACUCUCCUUCCACACCUUGUCAUCAUUGGUUCGAUUGUUCCCGGUGGCCAACAAUGUAGCGGAUAUCCUUUCCACGACCACGACGACGACGGGUAUUCGCACUAGCACACAGUUCUUCACACUGCAGGACACUCCACACCACCGAGAAAAUGCAUAAAGCAAAUCCCGAGUAAAAAAAACAACAAGAACCCUCCAUAAAGCCGAUUGGCAAAUUCUCACCAAAGCACAGCGAAAACGAGAGAGUGAAUGGAGUGGAAACUUGAUCAGCCUGGUGCGAACCUGAUACACACAUACACCGUAUCCCGCUUCCUGUUACCGCCGGACCACCGCGUCGCGUUAAUGGUAAUCAUAAUAUUAUAGGUUCAAUUUUCGGCAACCAUUUGAAGCCGCAUUAUGUGAAACAUUCCAAUUGGAGGGGGGUUGGGAAGGGGGCAUCGACCGGCGAGGAUGGCACCGAUGGCUCCUCGGAACGGGACAUCAUAAUGCGAUAUAACUGCCAUUGGCUGUUGAUUUUCGACAAUUCAUCAACCGUUCGGUCGGGAGGUGCUGCUGUGUCGAACAUUGUGCUGCUCAGCUUAUCGUCCAGCAUCCGGCCGGAGGUCGGUGGUGGUCGGUCGCCCAUUUAUGAUUCAUCGGCAUAAAAUCACGCAAAGCUUGCCGGUGUGGAAAUGGUUCGAACUGUAGUGGCGGUGGAUGGUGAGUGCAAAGGGUGAGUUGUGGGGGAAAAUGCGUUAAUAUGGCUUCCAUCCGGGUGCGCCUUGCAUGGUGCUCCCGGGAGGGAUAAUGCACGUAACUCGCUACGCUCAAUUUGGAUGCACUCAUCCGUUUCAUA